rnacentral:tRNA from 1 species
AUCCAAAUAGUUUAAAAAAAAAUGUUAGCUUGUGGCGCUUAAGUUGUAGAAGACUACUUUGGGUA